UACGAAGGAUGCAAGCGUUAUCCGGAUUCACUGGGUUUAAAGGGUGUGCAGGUGGGGUAAUAAGUCAGUGGUGAAAGCCCCCGACUCAAUCCGGGGAACUGCCAUAGAUACUGUUAUUCUUGAGUGUAGUUAAGGCAGAUGGAAUAUGACAUGUAGCGGUGAAAUGCUUAGAUAUGUCAUAGAACACCAUCGCGAAGGCAGUCUGC
rnacentral:rRNA from 1 species